ACAUUUAACUUAAUGAAAAUCAUUAAAUUGUCGUCGGGAGAAGGUGCAGUAGGUUUUGUUUAAGCAAAUACGUACAAAGGUUAAGAUUCAAUUGAAGACUAUUGUACAUUUCACCACUUUGUUUAUUUCCCGGACGUUCAUAGCAAAAAAUAUUUUUAUUCACGUACAUGUACAUGUAUGAUAGUGCUCUGAAAGUAGCUGUAUUUCUUAAAUUAAAAACUGCAUAUUUAAAGGUCGUAUUUGUAAACAUUAUAAAUGAUAAGCUAAAAGGUGUGCGUGAUUUUUGUUGUUGUUUUAUUUUAGUUUUUUUUUUUUUUCAUAUUCUGCAAAAAACAAAACGAUUCGCCCCCAUUACGGCUCGUCUUACUAUUCAAUUCGUGUUAGUUUAAGUAUAACAUAUUUUAUUUGUUUAGAAAUGUCUAUGUUUUUGGUGCAUCUUAUGUUUAUGGAGAAGAAAAUCAGAAACAAUAUGAACUAACAAUUCUGUUAAACCAUUCUGACUUCCUCCACCAGUAAAGCUGGAAUGUCGCGAUAUGGCUUAUACUGUGUCAAUGUGACGUAAAACCCAAAACAAACAAAAAACCAUUCUGUAUGGUAUCUUUAACUCAACUCACAGACCACAGGCUCCGCGUUUUAUUUUCCUUUCAUGGUUAAAGUAAACGAUCAGCAGUGUUUAGAAAGAUAAAUUUACAAGUUUUAGUUGAGACAUAGAUCUAUAACAUAGAUGUUAUCUACAUCUGUGGACUAUAAGAUAUUAAAAGAAAAAGAAAAUUUCUUAUAAAUAACUUUCCAAUAUACAUUCACAGCUAUAACUUUGCAUACAUGAUGAAGAUCUAGUCAUGUUUGCAAUAAUAAUAGUAGUAAUAUUAAUAAUAGUGAGUAAAUAAAACAAUUGGGAAACUCUUUCUAAUGCAGUCAUGCAGGAAACGGAUAUUUCAAGAUAAUUCGAUAUAGAAUACAAUAUAGGUACUUCAAAUAUUUCCCAAAAAUAUUGAGUUAAUAAAACUUCAGUCAAAAUGUCCAUGCCAACACUUAUACUUAUAGAAAGGGUUACUUAACACUUAAGUUCCUCUCUUAUUCAAAUUAUUUUUAGUACCAUUACUGACGUGUUUCACUGAAACAAAUGCUACAUCUUAAUAUCAGUAAGAUUUUCACAAUGGGUGUGAUGGUUCAACUUCAAGGAGUAAUUCAGUUAAGGAAUUUUUCGGAAUUUAAAUGUAACUGUGUAUAUUAUGAUACUACUUUCACUGUUUAAAUUCGAGGUAUUUUCACUCGUAAGUUUUUUGUUUGUUGUUUUUUGGUUUUUUUAUGAAAUUUAUUUAUGACUGCUGGAAUAGUUGUAAAUAUUGAAUACAAUUAUUUACUCAUUAACAUAUACAUUCUAUUCAUGGUUGCCUAAGCAUUCAUGAAAGUUUGAUCACCUAAAAAUCAAAAGUUUCUAGUAUAAAAUACGUUAACGCAUUUCAGUUUUUAACAUUUUUAUGCAAUUAAUAUAUAUUUGGUUGUGUGUGUUCUUAAAUUAGGCAGCUAAGCCCUUGACAUGUUAUUAGUAAUUUAGUUGUCUUAUACCUAAAUGGGAGUGCCAGUAUAUUAGUGAUGUCACUACCGUUUUUUUUUUCUGACUCAAAGGAUGUUGUAAAUGAGGAACUUGAAGUUAAAUUCAUAGACUGCUACAAAUGUUCUGGUGUGUUUGCAUUUGAAGAUAUUUCUAAAGGCAAGCUUUUAACUUGGUAUGACGGAGAACUUAUGUCUCAUGCAAAAGGUUACAGUAGGCAUGCAAGCAACAGAUGUAAGGAUUGCUCCUCUACUUUUGCAUUGACACCAUGCAUUCAUCAGGAAUUCGUAAAAUGAUAAAUGGCAGCCACUAAAAACCAAACAGCAAAGUUGUAACUGAAGAUAAAGAGCAAUUUCAGCAUCAGACCAAUACUGAGAGAUGAAAAAUGUGCUUUGACUACCAUUAGAUCCUUAGGCCCCUUGGAGAAAGAGUUGUAUGAAAUUCAAGGGGAAUUGGAUUACAAAGGUCAAGAGUGUCUAAGGGUGAUCUUCUACAAUUCAAAAAGAGGCAAUAAAUACUACGAUAGGUAAAUUUAUUUAUUUCGUUAAAACAAGCUCUGUUCCUCUUAACUUCUUUUUUUUUUAUUGUUACAGUCAUGUCGGCUUUGCCGUUACCACCUGCAAAUUUAACCUUAGUCAUAACUUUUUAAAUUGUAGGUGAAUUGCCUUCACACUUAGCUGCAACAACCUUUGGGACAAGAUUUUCAAGUACACCAGACUAAACUUGACCUUCAUUCAUAAAUGACCUUGACCUUUAAGGUUAAAUGUAAACAUUUUGCUUAUUGUUUGCUAAUUUUUGCUUUAAGUGGCUGUAACUUUAUCAUUCUUUAAUGGAUUGUAUUCAAACUUGAAUAUAACAAUUUUCUAGAAUUGACCUUUAAGUUAAUCAGACAGAUCUUUACCAGACAUUGACCUUAAAGGUGAUAUUAUUGAAUUUUUAUAUUUUUUGCUGUAACUGGCUAUAACUUUACAAUUAUUUCUACAUGUAUAUCAAACACAAAUAGUUGUUAACUCAUUUAUAACCUUGACCUUGAAGGCCAAAUUAUUUAUUUUCCAUUGAUUAUUACUAUAAUUGGCUGUUAUGUUUGAUAAUUCAUCAAUGAAUUAAUUUUAUAUUUUGACAAAACUACCUUUUGGACAAGACAUUUUGUUACUUGUUAAUCAGUACAUGUAUGGAUUAUCUUCAUACUUUGAUAAAACAACACUACUGGGAUCCUACAAUUUUACCGGACAAUCAGUUUAUCGGACAAAAUCUAUUCCAGUCAAAUAAGGCUUUAUUUUUUGCUUCAAUUAAAAAAUCUUCCGGUUUGAAUCAUACACACACUUUCUACUGCAAAGUAAAUAACAACAAAACCACUCUCAGGAAAAUAUUGUUGAUUCAGUUCUUUAUUUACUAACAUACGCUUUAGUUUACUAGUUAUUCCAUGACCUGGUCAUGCGGGGGAAUAAUCUGUUCUGCGCAUUUCCGAAUAAUGAGGCCCUUAAUGGGUUAUUAAACUUAUUUUAGAUAGAUUUUACUUUUAAUUCUUCUCAAAGUUAACUCAAGAGACAAUUGUAACAUAUUUUAAGGAUAAAAAAUAAUUUUAAAUUUCGUUCAAACAAUAUCUUGUUGUUGUCUUUUACAAAGAGGUGCAAAUUAAAAACAUAUAAGGAAACGGGUUACGCACAUGGGAGGAAACUCUACAUGAAAUGUACAAAAAUAGACUUUAUGGCUUUUGCAACAUGCUACAUGAUGAUCAAAAGGAAACUGUAUGAGAAAGAACAGAAUUCCAUUUGAAUAUCAAAAUGUGUCAUACUUUUAAGGAUCAUGAAGAAUCAAUACGUUAAUUGAGUUAAUAGUGUUUAUUUCAAUUACACCCCUAGAUUGGCCUCUUCGUAACAAGCAUGGCUGCCGUGUCUACUUUAGUGACAUACUGGUUUUUUCCAGUAUCUUAACAUUGCCAUUCAAUAGUCGUAGUUUCCUUGCUUAAUUUCAAUUUAACACUUCAAAAUAUUUUGAAACACAAUAUCCGGUGAAUUGAGUUGUCUGCACAAUUUUUUUCCUCUUUUAAUGCCCUACUUUAAAGACACAUUUCUACGGUCAAAAGUUUAAUAAGGAAUGUUUACGUAUUAUCAGAGCCCACAAUUAUUUGGGUAAAAUUUCAUUCUUUUCUAUUAUUUUAAAUAAAGUUACAACGAAAAAACAUCAUAUUUUGUCCGGUAAUAUGUAGGAUUCCAGUAUGGAAGGUUGAACUGACAUUGACAUUGAGCUUAAAAUGACCUUGAUCAUCAAGGUCAAAGUAUUGAAUUUUUGUUAAGUUGUCAUAAUUUUGUUAUUUAUGUACAGCUUUGAUUCAUAAGUUGACAAAGCAAUACUUGUGACCAAACAGACAUGUGGAAUAAUUAAGAUAUGACCUUGACCUUAAAAUGACAUUGAUGGUUAAAUGAUUGAAUAUUGGAACAUCAUUUAAAUUAAUGAACUUUUGCACAAUAGAUGUGAAGUGGUAAUUCUGUUGUACUAUUUUGUUCCACUUUUUCACAUUGUCCUAUUAAAAUGAGAAAGUUAAUAUGAACAUUUUAAUUAUUGAUUUCAGAUGGCUUUGAAAUCAGCAA